AUUGAACGCUGGCGGCAGGCUUAACACAUGCAAGUCGAGCGGUAACAGAGAGAAGCUUGCUUCUCUGCUGACGAGCGGCGGACGGGUGAGUAAUGCCUAGGAGUCUGCCUAGUAGUGGGGGAUAACUUGCCGAAAGGUAAGCUAAUACCGCAUACGUCCUACGGGAGAAAGGAGGGGACCUUCGGGCCUUUCGCUAUUAGGUGAGCCUAGGUCGGAUUAGUUAGUUGGUGAGGUAAUGGCUCACCAAGACCGCGAUCCGUAACUGGUCUGAGAGGAUGAUCAGUCACACUGGAACUGAGACACGGUCCAGACUCCUACGGGAGGCAGCAGUGGGGAAUAUUGGACAAUGGGGGGAACCCUGAUCCAGCCAUGCCGCGUGUGUGAAGAAGGUCUUAGGAUUGUAAGGCACUUUAAGUUGGGAGGAAGAGCAGUUAACUAAUAUUUGACUGUUUUGACGUUACCGACAGAAUAAGCACCGGCUAACUUCGUGCCAGCAGCCGCCGUAA
rnacentral:rRNA from 1 species